ACUUAAAUAGCUUAUUAGAGCGUAACACUGAAGAUGUUAAGGAAACAUUUUGUUUUUAAGUA
rnacentral:tRNA from 1 species